GAACUGAAGAGUUUGAUCAUGGCUCAGAUUGAACGCUGGCGGCAGGCCUAACACAUGCAAGUCGAACGCGAAAAUUCCUUCGGGAAUGAGUAGAGUGGCGGACGGGUGAGUAACGCGUGGGAAUCUACCUGGUAGCGGGGGAUAACUCGGGGAAACUCGAGCUAAUACCGCAUACGCCCUACGGGGGAAAGGAGGGGAUCUUCGGACCUUUCACUAUCAGAUGAGCCCGCGUUAGAUUAGCUUGUUGGUGAGGUAAUGGCUCACCAAGGCGACGAUCUAUAGCUGGUCUGAGAGGAUGAUCAGCCACACUGGGACUGAGACACGGCCCAGACUCCUACGGGAGGCAGCAGUGGGGAAUCUUGGACAAUGGGGGCAACCCUGAUCCAGCCAUGCCGCGUGAGUGAAGAAGGCCUUAGGGUUGUAAAGCUCUUUCAGCAGGGACGAUAAUGACGGUACCUGCAGAAGAAGCCCCGGCUAACUCCGUGCCAGCAGCCGCGGUAAUACGGAGGGGGCUAGCGUUGUUCGGAUUUACUGGGCGUAAAGCGCACGUAGGCGGAUAGUCAAGUCAGGCGUGAAAGCCCCGGGCUCAACCCGGGAACUGCGCUUGAUACUGAUUGUCUUGAGUCCGAGAGAGGGUGGUGGAAUUCCCAGUGUAGAGGUGAAAUUCGUAGAUAUUGGGAAGAACACCAGUGGCGAAGGCGGCCACCUG
rnacentral:rRNA from 1 species